rnacentral:rRNA from 1 species
GCGGACGGGUGAGUAAUGCCUAGGAAAUUGCCCUGAUGUGGGGGAUAACCAUUGGAAACGAUGGCUAAUACCGCAUAAUGCCUACGGGCCAAAGAGGGGGACCUUCGGGCCUCUCGCGUCAGGAUAUGCCUAGGUGGGAUUAGCUAGUUGGUGAGGUAAGGGCUCACCAAGGCGACGAUCCCUAGCUGGUCUGAGAGGAUGAUCAGCCACACUGGAACUGAGACACGGUCCAGACUCCUACGGGAGGCAGCAGUGGGGAAUAUUGCACAAUGGGCGCAAGCCUGAUGCAGCCAUGCCGCGUGUGUGAAGAAGGCCUUCGGGUUGUAAAGCACUUUCAGUCGUGAGGAAGGUAGUGUAGUUAAUAGCUGCAUUAUUUGACGUUAGCGACAGAAGAAGCACCGGCUAACUCCGUGCCAGCAGCCGCGGUAAUACGGAGGGUGCGAGCGUUAAUCGGAAUUACUGGGCGUAAAGCGCAUGCAGGUGGUUUGUUAAGUCAGAUGUGAAAGCCCGGGGCUCAACCUCGGAAAUUGCAUUUGAAACUGGCAGACUAGAGUACUGUAGAGGGGGGGUAGAAUUUCAGGUGUACCGGUGAAAUGCGUAGAGAUCUGAAGGAAUAC